rnacentral:rRNA from 1 species
AGUGAACGCUGGCGGCAGGCCUAACACAUGCAAGUCGAGCGAGCGGCGGACGGGUGAGGAAUACAUCGGAAUCUGCUCUGUGGUGGGGGAUAACUUCGGGAAACGUAAGCUAAUACCGCAUACCAUCAAAUGAGCCCAGGUCGGAUUCGCUAGUAGGCGGGGUAAAGGCCCACCAAGGCGACGAUCCGUAGCUGGUCUGAGAGGAUGAUCAGCCACACUGGAACUGAGACACGGUCCAGACUCCUACGGGAGGCAGCAGUGGGGAAUAUUGCACAAUGGGCGCAAGCCUGAUCCAGCCAUACCGCGUGUGUGAAGAAGGCCUUCGGGUUGUAAAGCCCUUUUGUUGGGAAAGCGGUACCCAAAGAAGAAGCACCGGCUAACUUCGUGCCAGCCGCCGCGGUAAUAC